UGGGGAAUUUUGGACAAUGGGCGAAAGCCUGAUCCAGCAAUGCCGCGUGUGUGAAGAAGGCCUUCGGGUUGUAAAGCACUUUUGUCCGGAAAGAAAUCCUUGGCUCUAAUACAGUCGGGGGAUGACGGUACCGGAAGAAUAAGCACCGGCUAACUACGUGCCAGCAGCCGCGGUAAUACGUAGGGUGCAAGCGUUAAUCGGAAUUACUGGGCGUAAAGCGUGCGCAGGCGGUUUGCUAAGACCGAUGUGAAAUCCCCGGGCUCAACCUGGGAACUGCAUUGGUGACUGGCAGGCUAGAGUAUGGCAGAGUGGGGUAGAAUUCCACGUGUAGCAGUGAAAUGCGUAGAGAUGUGGAGGAAUACCGAUGGCGAAGGCAGCCCCCUGGGCCAAUACUGACGCUCAUGCACGAAAGCGUGGGGAGCAAACAGGAUUAGAUACCCUGGUAGUCCACGCCCUAAAACGAUGUCAACUAGUUGUUGGGGAUUCAUUUCCUUAGUAACGUAGCUAACGCGUGAAGUUGACCGCCUGGGGGAGUACGGUCGCAAGAUUAAAACUUAAAUGAAUUGACGGGGUCAUAGCUGUUUCCU
rnacentral:rRNA from 1 species